rnacentral:lncRNA from 1 species
UUUUUUUGGUACAGACAGGGCCUCACUAUGUUGCCCAAGCUGGUCUGGAACUCCUGGACUCAGGUGAUCCUCCUGCCUUGGCCUCCCAAAGUUCUGGGAUUACAGGCGUGAGCCUCUGCGCCCAACCUAUUUUCUUUAUUUCUUACGACUGUAGUUUGUGGCUCUAGUCAGACAACCUGUCCUCACAUGAGGGCUUCACCCACUCCUCACUGCACAGGGCAGGCUGUUCCACCAUCUGGGAUGUCCCACCUCCUCUGUUACAG